ACGCACGCUGGCGGCAUGCCUAACACCUGCAAGUCGCACGGGACCUUCGGGUCUAGUGGCGCACGGGUGCGUAACGCGUGGGAACCUGCCCUUAGGUUCGGAAUAACUCCCCGAAAGGGGUGCUAAUACCGGAUAAUGUCUUCGGACCAAAGAUUUAUCGCCUUUGGAUGGGCCCGCGUUGGAUUAGCUAGUUGGUAGGGUAAAAGCCUACCAAGGCGACGAUCCAUAGCUGGUCUGAGAGGAUGAUCAGCCACACUGGGACUGAGACACGGCCCAGACUCCUACGGGAGGCAGCAGUGGGGAAUAUUGGACAAUGGGCGAAAGCCUGAUCCAGCAAUGCCGCGUGAGUGAUGAAGGCCUUAGGGUUGUAAAGCUCUUUUACCCGGGAUGAUAAUGACAGUACCGGGAGAAUAAGCUCCGGCUAACUCCGUG
rnacentral:rRNA from 1 species